GCUGAUGCAAGCAGCGAGAUGCCCGACAGAUGAACUGUCUCUCACAAACUGUGUGUAUGCAAGUGAGAAGGACUUUAAAUCUGGCCAUGAAAACCCACUCAAGCGUAGUGCCAGGAACAAUUGCCUUCAGUCUACCUCAGAGGAAAUGGGCCGGACUCUCUCUAAACCAGGAUGUGGAAGGUAUGUGUAUGACAUGAUCUGAUGAUUUUGGUUUUCAAGAAGAAUUCCUCCUCCUUAUUAAUGUUGAAAAUGUUCAGGAUAUUUCAGGAUUCUUUGAUGAAUGGAAAGUUCAAAAAUGUAUUUGGAUUUGUUUUUGUCUUUGGUGAAUAAAGGUAUUAAACAACAACAAUUUUUCUGAUGCCAACCUUUUGUAACAAUAACAGUAGUGUAAGUUGACAUUUCUUUGGAGUAGUUUUGUUACAGGUUCUUAGUGCAAGUUUGGUCCUAUUAAAAUGUGGAAAGACACAUUUCACACAAAAUCUUGUUUUCAUUCACGUGUGUCAUCUGACAUCUACCCUGACUAACAACUAUAGUAUAUUUCAACAGUGAUCA